UCGUGGAGUGAUCUGUCUGCUUAAUUGCGUUUCAGAUAUAUGGGUUGUUAUCACGUACGCUUUGAUUCGAACACACCUCGUUGUGUUGUUUGACAUUGCCGAGUGGACACCCCUUUGAAAGCAACGAACGUGACCGCAACCCUUUGUUAUCUCUCUCUUUUGAAGAGACCAACUAAGGGGACCGCCAGGGUUGUUAAACCGGAGGAAGGUUGCGGCAAUAACA
rnacentral:rRNA from 1 species